AUGAAUUUUGAAGUAGAUAUGAACGGAAAGAGAUUUUCUUGGCAGGGGAUAGCCAAACUGCCCUUCAUUGAUGAAGCUAGGUUGCUGUCUGAGAUUGAAAAAGUCGAGCAUACUUUGACGCCUGAAGAAGCAAGACGAAACAGUACAAUGUACAAUAUGCUUUUUGUGAAUAGCUUGCACCCAAUUGCGCCUUAUAUCUAUUCUCUCAGCAGCAAAUUCGGACAUCUGCCCAAUAAUGAGCGAAAUGAAAUUAAAGAGCCACUCAAGCCUUCUGCCAGUGGAGGAAUGAGUGGUUACAUCUCACUUUGUGGUGGGGAUCCAAGUCCACCUGUCUUCAGAUCUCAUGUCGGUGGACUGGAGGAUAUUAUGGACAAUCAAGUGAUAUGCUCAAUUUACAAGCUUCCAGAUCCUCAUAAGCACAUAGCGCGUCCACCUGCUGGUGUCAUCAUGCCCAAGAAGAUUGUUGAAGCUGGUGAUCUGAAACCACCGCCUGUGCUGUGGCAUGAAGACAGUGGCAGGAGGCCUUAUGAUGAUAACAGGAGGCAUUGUGAUAAUAGCAGCAGGCAAAACCCUGCAGGAUCGACACAGGGACGCCAACUAGGGGAGGCCGCACACCGACUAGUUGCAAACAGCUUGAAUAUUCGCGGCGGCGGGCAUUACCCCCCUGUUAGGCCAUAUCAAACUAUAAUGAGUGGUCUGCAUUAUCCAAAUGGAAUGCCAGCAUGGAUGGAGCAGCCUGCUGGACGUAGUCCUGCUUGGCAUGUUCCUCCUGGUGAUAAUCUACCCAACAAUCAGGUAUCGGCCUAUGCGCUGCCAUCAGGAUCAGGCCAUCAGUAUACAAGAGAUAAUCGCGGAAGGCACCAACCAUACGCAAGAGACAGCCACAGCGAUUCAAGAGGAGCGGGCCAGCAUCCAUCUCGAUACCAUCAGAAUAGUAGCAGCAAUGCAUAUUCAUCGCAUCCUGCUCCUCCAUCAUCAGGUUUUGGACGAUACGGGCAACCCCCAUCGUAUGCUGGGGACUACCAGCCUGCGCCGUAUGCAGGAGCCCAGCAGUGGCAGCAGCAGCAACAACCUCAUGGUUCCUAUUCUGGAGGCCGGGCGCUUCCUGCAAGACCUAAUUCACGACCGCAGCAGUCACAGAACUCCUACGGCAGCUUAGAUAGGACUUUAGACAGGAGACCACCAGGCCAGGGGUUUACUACUUACUAG
rnacentral:rRNA from 1 species